GGAGCUGCAAGUGUUUAGGCAGUCUGGAUGAAGGGGAGUCUGCUGGAGAAUUUGCCAUGAAGCCAUCUUUGCAAGGAGCCCCCUUUCCUCAGAUGGCGUGGAACUCUGCUAUCACCAGGUGGCAACUCACAACUUUGCAGAAUGCAACUGAAAUGAAAACAAUUUCAGAUGAACAUAAACUUGAAGGAUUCACCACCAGCACACCUGUUCUUAGGCAGAAACUGGAUGGCAGCAUCUAGAAGCCAAGGAACACCCUGGAUUGCUGGCUGUCACCAGAAGCUAGAUGACAGGCACAGAACAGAUUCUCCCUCGUAGGCCUCAGAA